rnacentral:rRNA from 1 species
AACCAAGAUGGCUGAGUCAUAUAUUUACGGUAAAAAGACAGUUAAAUAGAUUUUUGUUAGCAUAUCAAAUACUUAUAAAGAAGUAAAAUUUGUAUAUUAGUAUAUAGUUUAAUUUUAGCUUAGUUAUUGAAGCUGUUACAGCCUUGAGGGAAACUGGGAUUAGAUACCCCAUUAUUCUAGGAUAUAAAUCAAUUUUUAAUUUACCAGAGUACUAUGAAUUAAAACAAAAAAUUUAAAACUCAAAGGGCUUGGCGGUGUUUUAGACCUCUCAGGGGAACCUGUCUCAUAAUCGAUAAUCCACGUUAUACCUAACCCUUUUUUGUUGCCAGUUUGUAUACCGUCGUCGUCAGGUAACUUUUAAAAAACUAGAAGUUAGCAAGAGAAUUAAAAUAUAUUUCAACGUCAGAUCAAGGUGCAGUUUAUAAGAGGGUGAGGAUGGGUUACAAUUGUUUAAUUACAAUUACGAAAUAGCUAUUUGAAUAAGUAGUUAUGAAGGAGGACUUGAAAGUAAUUAAUAUUAUAAAAAUAUUUUGAAUAAGGCUCUGAAAUGUGC